rnacentral:rRNA from 1 species
CAGUCGCCACGGUAAUACAGAGGGUGCAAGCGUUAAUCGGAAUUACUGGGCGUAAAGCGCGCGUAGGUGGUUUGUUAAGUUGGAUGUGAAAUCCCCGGGCUUAACCUGGGAACUGCAUCCAAAACUGGCAAGCUAGAGUAUGGUAGAGGGUGGUGGAAUUUCCUGUGUAGCGGUGAAAUGCGUAGAUAUAGGAAGGAACACCAGUGGCGAAGGCGACCACCUGGACUGAUACUGACACUGAGGUGCGAAAGCGUGGGGAGCAAACAGGAUUAGAUACCCCCGUAGUCCCUGUCUCUUAUAC